rnacentral:rRNA from 1 species
AUUGAACGCUGGCGGCAUGCCUUACACAUGCAAGUCGAACGGCAGCACGGACUUCGGUCUGGUGGCGAGUGGCGAACGGGUGAGUAAUGUAUCGGAACGUACCUUUCAGUGGGGGAUAACGUAGCGAAAGUUACGCUAAUACCGCAUAUUCUGUGAGCAGGAAAGCAGGGGAUCGAAAGACCUUGCGCUGAUUGAUCGGCCGAUAUCAGAUUAGCUAGUUGGUGGGGUAAAGGCCUACCAAGGCGACGAUCUGUAGCGGGUCUGAGAGGAUGAUCCGCCACACUGGAACUGAGACACGGUCCAGACUCCUACGGGAGGCAGCAGUGGGGAAUUUUGGACAAUGGGGGCAACCCUGAUCCAGCCAUGCCGCGUGAGUGAAGAAGGCCUUCGGGUUGUAAAGCUCUUUCGGCCGGGAAGAAAUCGCAUAGGCUAAUACCCUGUGUGGAUGACGGUACCGGAAUAAGAAGCACCGGCUAACUACGUG